rnacentral:rRNA from 1 species
GGAUUGACGUGACGGUCAUGCCUUAAGGGGUAUGAACUGUCACUGUUGAUUUCUCACCUUCUGGAGAAACUUGAUGUUCUUAAUUGGGUGUCUUGCGGAUCCAGGACCUUUACCUUGAAAAAUUAGAGUGUUUAAAGCAGGCAUUUUUUGCUCGAAUACAUUAGCAUGGAAUAAUAGAAUAGGACGGCAUGGUUCUAUUUUGUUGGUUUCUAGGAUCACCGUAAUGAUUAAUAGGGAUAGUUGGG